rnacentral:lncRNA from 1 species
UAACUCUGUGCAGGACGUGAAAAAGCCUCUCUGUGUGGAAGAUGACAGGGAGCAUCUCCAGGUCCCAGGGAUGAGGCUCGCAUGUGUCAGUCAGACAGGCUUCAGAGAAAGGUGCCAGUCAGCAGGAUAGAAAACAAAUCAUUCCCUUAUCAGAAGAUGCUCUCAGAGAAGACCUUCAUGACCCUGGACUACUGAGCAUCCCUGAAAAGCUUCAAGGUUGCAGGAAGGGCUGUGGUUCAGCCCUCAGAACACCUCAGCAUCUCAUUUGCCUGCUGUCCUUUCUCAAGCUGGACUUCCUGAAGAAGCCAUGA